CGAAGCGAUAGCUUGACGCGUUUUCCGUGGAUAAGAUGGCAGCGCUCCAGCUCACUAAAGAAUGGGACGGCAGUGGUCCGCCGGCAAGCUCGUUCUGAUCCUGGACGCAGUACAUUGGAAUCCUGAAGCACCACCACGAACGCUACCGCGCGUGCGCCUGCGGUGCCGGGAAGUUGAUCCCGGGUGCGCUUGAGUGAGGACAAAGUG
rnacentral:lncRNA from 1 species